GGUGCUUGCACCUUUCAAGCGAGUGGCGAACGGGUGAGUAACACGUGGAUAACCUGCCUCAAGGCUGGGGAUAACAUUUGGAAACAGAUGCUAAUACCGAAUAAAACUUAGUAUCGCAUGAUACAAAGUUAAAAGGCGCUACGGCGUCACCUAGAGAUGGAUCCGCGGUGCAUUAGUUAGUUGGUGGGGUAAAGGCUUACCAAGACAAUGAUGCAUAGCCGAGUUGAGAGACUGAUCGGCCACAUUGGGACUGAGACACGGCCCAAACUCCUACGGGAGGCUGCAGUAGGGAAUCUUCCACAAUGGGCGCAAGCCUGAUGGAGCAACGCCGCGUGUGUGAUGAAGGCUUUCGGGUCGUAAAGCACUGUUGUAUGGGAAGAAAUGCUAAAAUAGGGAAUGAUUUUAGUUUGACGGUACCAUACCAGAAAGGGACGGCUAAAUACGUGCCAGCAGCCGCGGUAAUACGUAUGUCCCGAGCGUUAUCCGGAUUUAUUGGGCGUAAAGCGAGCGCAGACGGUUGAUUAAGUCUGAUGUGAAAGCCCGGAGCUCAACUCCGGAAUGGCAUUGGAAACUGGUUAACUUGAGUGUUGUAGAGGUAAGUGGAACUCCAUGUGUAGCGGUGGAAUGCGUAGAUAUAUGGAAGAACACCAGUGGCGAAGGCGGCUUACUGGACAACAACUGACGUUGAGGCUCGAAAGUGUGGGUAGCAAACAGGAUUAGAUACCCUGGUAGUCCACACCGUAAACGAUGAAUACUAGG
rnacentral:rRNA from 1 species